GGUGGAAGACUGCAAUAUCAGAACUGGACACUGAAAGGCCUCAUGCAGAAAAACAAGGGACAAUAAAGCAAAAUCGUCAUCACGCUGCCCUUUCACAUGUCUCAAACUGACUCUAAAAGACUAAAAUUCUUACAUCAUUUUUCUAAUGAGGAAACGCAAGCAUGAUUUAAAUGACUAGACCAAUCCACGAGAGAAGACCCCGUCAGAUGUAGGCUAUGCUGGCUGGAAAUGUCCCUUUGUUUCAGCCUGGUGCUCAGUGCUGAGCUGGGUCGAAGUGGACUGGCUUUUUUGUCCUGGACUGGCUUUCAGUGUGGCCCGAGACAGUAGCAGUCUCAGGAGAGCCCAAGAACCCACCGUCUUCUCACUGUUUGGAGCUAAACCCUCGCAAGGGUCUCUGUGAGAUUUUGACACCACCAGAACUGAAUCUCAACCUUGAAAUGAUUUUGUAUCCAGAGUCUGGAGUCAGACUUGGGAUCCUUACACCAUCUGUAGACAAUGUUCAACCAAAAAGCAAAAAAUGUGGAAUCUUUCCUCAAACUGCUUACCUAGCAAUACAUUUCACAGGAAUGCUGCAAGUGUGAAGCCUGGAUUACACUGGUUAAUCAAACACCCCAGAAAGGGGCAUUUCGCUUUGAAGAUACACAGAAGAUGACAUACCUGCUCUGAAGAGUUCAAAGCCGCACGUAGAGAAAAGCAGCAAGAGGAGCCAAAGCAUGAUUAUCAGUUGCUUAAAAAUCCUGUAUUGCUAUGCUUGUUGUUUAUGUUGUUGCCUUAACUGUAAAAUGGGGAUAAUAUUUCUCUCUACAUUAUAAAUUGAUUUUAUAAUUAAUUUUAUGAUUGAAUUGAUGGGGAAAAAGGUACUAUAAAAUAAUAUUUUGCGCAUCUAAUCUCUGACAGGAUACACAAGCAAAUGACAAAACCAAAAGGAAUUUACAUGGCUUAGACCUUUGUUUCAUGUUGAAAGACUGUGAGUGCAGAGAUUUUUGUGCCUAACUCCAAUUAAUAUGCAAUUUCACUAUAGGAUUUUAAAGAUAUCUCCUUCUGUGAGUCACAUUUGGGUAUUUUUACCCUGGCUAUGUUUGCUUUCACAAAAACAGUCACAAUAAACCUUCCAUACUGCCAAAUAGCUCUUCAACAAGAGCCACUGAAAUCAAGACACACAAAGAAGUCAGAUAUAUUUA